rnacentral:rRNA from 1 species
CAGCAGCCGCGGUAAUACCGGCGGCCCGAGUGGUGGCCGCUAUUAUUGGGCCUAAAGCGUCCGUAGCCGGGCCCGUAAGUCCCUGGCGAAAUCCCACGGCUCAACCGUGGGGCUUGCUGGGGAUACUGCGGGCCUAGGGACCGGGAGAGGCCGAGGGUAUUCCCGGGGUAGGGGUGAAAUCCUGUAAUCCCGGGAGGACCACCUGUGGCGAAGGCGCUCGGCUGGAACGGGUCCGACGGGGAGGGACGAAGGCCAGGGGAGCGAACCGGAUUAGAUACCCGGGUAGUCCUGGCGGUAAACGAUGCGGACUAGGUGUCGGGCAAGCUAAGGGCUUGUCCGGUGCCGCAGGGAAGCCGUUAAGUCCGCCGCCUGGGGAGUACGGCCGCAAGGCUGAAACUUAAAGGAAUUGGCGGG